AAUUCUCAAAUCACAACUUUGUUUUGUGGCUUGGAUAGUUGGGUAUUGCCUGUUGUUAUAUAUAAGGCUGGCUUACCUUAAAUAUAUAAGUGGUAUUUUUCAGAAACUUGUUGGAUGUUGUAAAUAUAUUUAAUACAUCCUAUUUUCCUGAAUAAUUCUGCUUCUAAUUCUCUUUUGUGAUGA
rnacentral:misc_RNA from 1 species